CCUCCCGCCGCGGCCCCUCCCGCCGCUCCUUGGGCGGGCUCCGCGCUGCAGGCCAGCCCCAGGCUAGGGCCCGCCGCUUCCCCACCAGCCCGGCCUUCUCCGGGGUCUCCAGCCUGGCCGGGGCCCAGCCCGGCCUUGGCCUGGUCCCAAAUUAUUUAGGCAGAACAAACGCCUGGGAGGGGCGUCCCUGCAAGGAUAGAGAGAGGCUGCUGCCAUCACUGAGGGGGCCCGAUACUGGAGUCUGGUGGUGUGAGCACACAACCAGCCCGGCUCUGGGAUUUUAUCCUUCCUAAUCCCAUGUAAUUGUAAUGCCUGGGAAAAGAAGGAACAACCUCUGCAGUGUUAGAUUCGGCAGAGAGGAAAGAGACCAGCUCCCUCCCUGUGCGGCUGUUGCUGAGGAGGGUUCCCCUUCUGACAGCCUGAGGUGACAAAUCAAGGUCAAGGGAUAGAUGCUCCCCUUCAGCACAGCACGACCAAGAACACAGGAAAACGUUAGGGUCAGCAGCAAAGGAUGUGCUUAAAAGACCACAUGGUUUUCUCUCAAGCACAGUAAAACUCCUCACCAGGAAUGAGCUGCUCAGCCUUUUUCCAUGAGUCAGUCCAAACCCAUCACACCUAUUCAUUCUUCAGGAUCAGCUUGGCAUCACAGUGAGUUCCAGUUCCAUGGCAGAGGAUAGCGUGGCACCGACACCGCUCCUCCCUGGGGCACAAAGCCUCCCCAGCCCCCGGGCCAGCCUGGGACACAGCACUGGGGCACAAAUCUAUCUUUGGGUCACCUCUAAAGCCCUAGGAGCGUAAGACAGGCAGGUGACAGAUGGCUGGAGGCAGGGGAUCAUGGGGACUCGGCCACCCCACAGCAGCCACCGCUCCGUCUGCCAGCCAGGGCUUAGAAACCUCCGGAAAAGCUAACACGGGGAAGAGGGAGCAACACUCAGAGAGUGACAGGCAGCAGGAGAGCACUUCCCCCGGAAUCCAUCCUCUGCGGAUGCACCAGGCACAAAGCUCCACGGACCACUCUUCACACAGGUGUAAGUAAAUCCUGCAGGGAGCCUUUAACCACCUCAACAGCAGCUCCCAGCUUUGAGGGAUCCAAAAAUGCUGCUGCUGUGGGGGCAUUAGGAGCUACAUCAGCUCCUGGGCCGUGGGCUGUGCCUGUCCUGAUCCCAGUCCUGGUGUUUCACUGGGACUCAGCUGGGUGCACAGUGGGCUGCAUCAAGGAGUUAAACCUUCAAAACAAAGAUUUGGAGGCAAACAAGCUGUGCCAAGGAGUUAGAUCUUCAAAACAAUGCAGGUUUGAAUAUGAGAGCUGUUCCAUGAAUUUAGCCUUAAUUACAUCCUGUAGAGCUAUAACCAGCUACCACACUGUAAAGCAGGUGAAAACCCCCACUUUUAUUUCUUUAUGGUAUCACAGGUGGAACAGCUUAAGUUGGAGUGUCCUUAACAACAACAGCAACAGCAAAGAAAUACAAGGAUGGCUUGAAAGUAGCUUUAUUUAGUAAUGCUGAGUCUGUACAGAGCUAGGGAGAUUCCUGCUGCAGUACAGCAGCUGUACUCCUCACUGUCUUCCCAAAUGGCUGCUUGGUUUGCCAAACCCAUUUCUCUUCAAAAUGUUAAUAGAUGACAUUAAUUAAAACACGAGCCAAGCCUAAAGUAAAGGUUUUUUCUAAUCAAAGUACUUCUAAAUGAUUACUCUCUUGGCCUCUGCGAUGUUGGCACCUGACAGGUCACUCAGGGUUUACCCUGUACCAGCCAUAAAUUAUUUCAUCUAUUAAAAAUAGAUUCCCAUCCCUCCAUCCUGCGAGGGGCUGAAUCAGCAGGGAGCUGCACCCACAGUAGCACAGCCCAGGAAUUUUUGUCUUUAGGGUUGGCAUGAUGGUUCCUUCCCUCACAGGACAGCUGCUGAAGGAUUGAGGUGAGUUUGGUCACCCACAGGUUGCUGACACAGGUGCCAUCUCCAGAGUGAGCAAGGAAGCAGUGCCAGAGCAGGGAGUGGAGGGUCAGGAGCUCUGUCCCCAAAGUCAGUGUCCUUUUAGCUCGCUGGGACAGACAGAAAUAGGCCUGAAAGCACAUUCCCCAAGCGGCCUAAUUUCCCUGCCCUCACACAAUGUUCUCUUUCCUCCUCAGCACCAGGGUAUUUGUUUUAUUUUAGGAUUUAGGAGCUUACAACCUUUAUCGAAGGAUAAAGGUGCUCAACAAUUGACUGUAAUUUUUUUUUGGUUUUGGCUUAAGUAUUGCAAUUAAAGAGCAAAAGCCAGGCCAGUGUAACAAAGCAAGGCAGGUUAAACAUCCCCACCACACAAGUCUCACCCAGAAAACAGCAGAACAGCCCCCAAACAAAUAAUCCUCUCAUUCCUGCUGUCAGCUUCCCUUCUUUAAGUACUUGAAAGUUCCUCCCUGAACCAGGCUGUUGUGUUCAAGUAGAAAAAGGUCAGGGUGACACAGAAAGGGUUUAACUUCCUCCCCAGCACUGAAUCUCUGACCUGGAUGACAUUCAAGGUUGUCAAGGAAGCAGUUACAAACAACUAUAUUUAGGAAAUGAAAACACCUAUUUCCUCUCUCCUCUGCUCAGAGGCCAACACUCACCUGCAGUGUUUGCAGGGAGCUGUGACAAGAAGCUUAAUGGAAAGGAAGCAAAAAAAACCCCAACCCCCUUCUUUUCACUGGUUUAGUAGGUCUUAUGGAGGAAGAAGAUGGGUAGAGAUAAAAAGACUAAGCCUAAGUAGAGCACAGGACCAGCUUAACAGGCUCAGAAUAAACCUCCCUCCUGCUGUUAUUUAACAGCAGAGCUGGACACGUGCUCCUGAGCCACUCCUUCCUGCUGGGCCCAGCACUGGGAUUCCUCUUCCUGGGGGGCUGUGGCACCCCCAGCACACGGGACCUGUCCCUCAGGCUGCCAAGUGGGUGACCCUGGGUGGCCCUGCACAUGCCAAAAGAGAAUUCCCAGUUAGAGCCCUGCUCCUGGCAGAGGGGGGUUAAAAACCAGGAGUUUUCCAGAUGAGGUCAUAGGCAGAGCUGCUGCCUCCAGGCUUCCCCAUCCCCUGCAACCAAAACAACAGUGAUGACGAAGCUCUGCCACCCACACCAGGGCCCCAGGGCAGCGAGCUGGGACCUGCUCCUGGACAGGAUUCCUCCCUGGAAUUUGGCUGCCUUGGUGACACAGAGGGGCUGGGGCAGUAGAUGUGUGGUACAAAAUACAGACACACAAAACAGUGGAAUGGUUUGGGUGGAUGAACUUUGAGGUUUUCACCCCUGCCAUGGCCAGGACACCUUCCAUUAUCCCAGG